AUGACGUGCCGUGAGGAGGUCAGGGUGGGCGGCAGCUGGUGGCCGCAGAACCUGCCGAGGGAUGGGACGAGGGGGGUGACCAGCACCUCCCCAAACUCUGCCUUUUGGUGGCUCCUCCCCACCAGCCAGCCCCGCGCCUCAGUUUCCCCAGGUGUGUCGCCAGGGUGGCACAGCCGGCCUGGCGGUGCCGGGUACCUGCCCAUGAGGCUGGCGGUCCCCGUGCCCGCGCUGUCGUGCACCUCCACGAAGUCGAAGCUGCAGUCGUCGUGCGACUCCAGGCUGAAGUUGUGGAAGUGCAGGUCGAUGACGUGGCCCAAGGGCACCGAGAUCUGCCAGAGGCACAGCUGGGGCGGGGGGGCAGCCGGCGACACCCGUGAAGCUGGGCAGGGGCACCCCCAGCUCUCCCCGGGGUGUGCCUUCCUCCCUACUCGCCCUCACCCUCACCCUGCUCCCACAGGAUCCCUUCUCUCACCUGCUGGUGCGGGUAUGGCUGGGGGUGGUUCGGGGUGGACAGGCGCCCCUCCAAGGCGGUCAUUGGCCCCCCACACUCUGCAGGGACACAGACACACCAGAUUUACCUGCCCACUCCCCGCCCAUCCCCGGGUGCCGCGGGCUCUGGGGGCUGCAGGUGAGGGUCUGUCCCGCCCACCUUUGUGUUUCAGGCUGCAGUUGGCCUCGUCGCUCCUGUCCGUGCAGUCGUGGAAGCCGUCGCACACGAAGCCCAGCUGGAGGCAGAGCCCCUGGUCACACAAGUGCUCGUCCCAGGCGCAGCUCUCUGCACGCAGCCACAGACACCCAGGCUGGCGGGGGGGUCCCAGCGGGCACCCUCCCCUCCCCGCCGGCUGUCCCCAGCCCGGAGGGACCCUGGCAGUGCCCUGGCGCGGGGGACUCACUCUCGGCCGGGGUCACGGCGCGGUAGCGGGCGCUGAAGCCCUGGGCACCCACGCUGCUGUCGGACACGAAGGUGACGCGCAGGCGAUUGGAGGCGGUGUUGAAGGUCGGGGGGGGCACAUUGCCGCAAAACCUGGGGGCACAGCAAGGGCUGGCACCGCUCGCUGCCCCCGCCCCGCCGCACGCCCACUCUGCCCAGGUGAGAGGAGCCGUACCUGGUCGGGCUCCCCCGAGCCGGGGCCGUGCCAGCCGCGCCCGGGGGGGGGGGGGGGGGGGGGGGGGGGGGGGGGGGGGGGGGGGGGGGGGGGGGGGGGGGGGGGGGGGGGGGGGGGGGGGGGGGGGGGGGGGGGGGGGGGGGGGGGGGGGGGGGGGGGGGGGAGAGGAGCCGUACCUGGUCGGGCUCCCCCGAGCCGGGGCUGUGCCAGCCGCGCCCUGCUCUUCGUAGAGCUCCAGGCGGUCGAAGAGGCAGGAGGCCGUGCCCUCCACGCUGAACGACUCCAUCCUCAGCUGGAUGGCGAGGCCGGUGCCCACCUCGAUGCGCCAGAUGCAGAGGGCGUUGGGCGGGUAGGGGCCGGGGUAGUUGGGGGAGCUGAAGGAGCCCUCGGGGGCCCGCAGGGUCCCUCCGCAGGCUGA
rnacentral:lncRNA from 1 species